rnacentral:rRNA from 1 species
CGUAUCCUACGGGAGGCAGCAGUGGGGAAUAUUGGGCAAUGGGCGCAAGCCUGACCCAGCAACGCCGCGUGAAGGAAGAAGGCUUUCGGGUUGUAAACUUCUUUUCUCAGGGACGAAGAAAGUGACGGUACCUGAGGAAUAAGCCACGGCUAACUACGUGCCAGCAGCCGCGGUAAUACGUAGGUGGCAAGCGUUAUCCGGAUUUACUGGGUGUAAAGGGCGUGUAGGCGGGGAAGCAAGUCAGAUGUGAAAACCCCGGGCUCAACCUGUGGCCUGCAUUUGCAACUGUUUUUCUUGAGGACUGG